rnacentral:rRNA from 1 species
UACGUAGGCAGCGAGCGUUGUUCGGAGUUACUGGGCGUAAAGGGUGCGUAGGCGGCCUUAUAAGUAUGGUGUGAAAUCUCCCGGCUUAACUGGGAGGGUGCGCUAUAGACUGUGGGGGCUAGAGUGUGGGAGAGGAAAGUGGAAUUCCUGGUGUAGCGGUGAAAUGCGUAGAGAUCCGGAAGAACACCGGUGGCGAAGGCGGUUAGCUGGGCAGUUGCUGACACUGAGGCGCGACAGCGUGGGGAGCAAACAGG